rnacentral:rRNA from 1 species
UACAGAGGGUGCGAGCGUUAAUCGGAAUUACUGGGCGUAAAGCGUGCGUAGACGGUUAUAUAAGUCGGAUGUGAAAGCCCCGGGCUCAACCUGGGAAUUGCAUUCGAGACUGCAUAGCUAGGGUGCGGAAGAGGGAAGCGGAAUUUCGGGUGUAGCGGUGAAAUGCGUAGAUAUCCGAAGGAACAUCAGUGGCGAAAGCGGCUUCCUGGUCCAGCACCGACGUUCAGGCACGAAAGCCAGGGUAGCAAACGGG